rnacentral:rRNA from 1 species
CAGCAGGCGCGCAAAUUACCCACUCCCGGCACGGGGAGGUAGUGACGAAAAAUAACGAUACGGGACUCAUCCGAGGCCCCGUAAUCGGAAUGAGUACACUCUAAACCCUUUAACGAGUAUCCAUUGGAGGGCAAGUCUGGUGCCAGCAGCCGCGGUAAUUCCAGCUCCAAUAGCGUAUAUUAAAGUUGUUGCGGUUAAAAAGCUCGUAGUUGGACUUGUGUCCCACGCUGUCGGUUCACCGUUCGUCGGUGUUAACUGGCAUGCCUGUGUGGACGUCCUGCCGGUGGAUGCGGUCGGCCGCGGGCCUCUGGUCUGCGUGUCGGCGGUCCGAUGCAAUCCUACCGCGGUGCUCUUCACCGAGUGUCGAGGUGGGCCGGCACGUUUACUUUGAACAAAUUAGAGUGCUCAAAGCAGGCAGUGGUUCGCCUGAAUAUUGUGUGCAUGGAAUAAUGGAAUAGGACCUCGGUUCUAUUUUGUUGGUUUUCGGAACCUGAGGUAAUGAUUAAUAGGGACAGACGGGGGCAUUCGUAUUGCGACGUUAGAGGUGAAAUUCUUGGAUCGUCGCAAGACGAACCUAAGCGAAAGCAUUUGCCAUGAGUGUUUUCACUAAUCAAGAACGAAAGUUAGAGGUUCGAAGGCGAUCAGAUACCGCCCUAGUUCUAACCAUAAACGAUGCCAGCUAGCGAUCCGCCGAAGUUCCUCCGAUGACUCGGCGGGCAGCUUCCGGGAAACCAAAGCUUUUGGGUUCCGGGGGAAGUAUGGUUGCAAAGCUGAAACUUAAAGGAAUUGACGGAAGGGCACCACCAGGAGUGGAGCCUGCGGCUUAAUUUGACUCAACACGGGAAACCUCACCAGGCCCGGACACCGGAAGGAUUGACAGAUUGAUAGCUCUUUCUUGAUUCGGUGGGGUGGGUGGUGCAUGG